rnacentral:rRNA from 1 species
GAACUUAAGCAUAUCAAUAAGCGGAGGAAAAGAAACCAACUGGGAUUGCCUCAGUAACGGCGAGUGAAGCGGCAUCAGCUCAGAUUUGAAAUCUGGUUCUUUCAGAGCCCGAGUUGUAAUCUGUAGAGGAGUCUUCGGGUUUGGAUCUGGCCUAAGUUUCUUGGAACAGAACGUCAUAGAGGGUGAGAGUCCCGUAUGAGGCCAGUUACCUAUUCCCAUGUGAAGCUUCUUCGACGAGUCGAGUUGUUUGGGAAUGCAGCUCAAAAUGGGUGGUAAAUUUCAUCUAAAGCUAAAUAUUGGCGGGAGACCGAUAGCGCACAAGUAGAGUGAUCGAAAGAUGAAAAGCACUUUGAAAAGAGAGUUAAAAAGUACGUGAAAUUGUUGAAAGGGAAACGCUUGCGAUUAGACUUGCGCUCAGGUGAUCAACCGGUGUUCUCACCGGUGCACUCUCCUGCUUGCAGGCCAGCAUCGGUUUGGGCGGUUGGAUAAAGGCCCUAGGAAUGUAGCUGCCCUCGGGCAGUGUUAUAGCCUAGGGUGUAAUGCAGCCAGCCUGGACCGAGGACCGCGCUUCGGCUAGGAUGCUGGCAUAAUGGUCGUAAGCGACCCGUCUUGAAACACGGACCAAGGAGUCUAACAUCUAUGCGAGUGUUUGGGUGGAAAACCCAAGCGCGUAAUGAAAGUGAACGUAGGUGAGAACCCCUAAGGGUGCAUCAUCGACCGAUCUUGAUGUCUUCGGAUGGAUUUGAGUAAGAGCAUAGCUGUUGGGACCCGAAA